UCCCGAUGAUGGGUAAGGAGCAUUAUC
rnacentral:piRNA from 1 species